rnacentral:rRNA from 1 species
AAGCCGGGAAUGGAAAGCCCGGUGCAAGCGGGGUACCAGUCACUCUGGCAAAUCCGGGUGGCAAUGGGAAGCCGUGAUGCGGAGCGAAAUAAAGUAGCGAAGUCCGUGAGCCAUGCGUCAAGAAAAGCCGCUAUCGUUUAUACCGUACCCGUACCGUAAACCGACACAGGUGGAUGAGGAGAGAAUCCUAAGGCCGGCGGAAGAAGCAUUGUCAAGGAACUCGGCAAAGUGGCCCCGUAACUUAGGGAUAAGGGGUGCCUGGGAAACCAGGCCGCAGAGAAUAGGCUCAAGCAACUGUUUAGCAAAAACACAGGUCUAUGCGAAACCGAAAGGUGAGGUAUAUGGGCUGACGCCUGCCCGGUGCUGGAAGGUUAAGAGGAGAGGUUAGCGCAAGCGAAGCUUUGAAUUUAAGCCCCAGUAAACGGCGGCCGUAACUAUAACGGUCCUAAGGUAGCGAAAUUCCUUGUCGGGUAAGUUCCGACCCGCACGAAAGGCGUAAUGAUUUGAGCGCUGUCUCGACAAUGCAUCCGGUGAAAUUGAAGUACCAGUGAAGAUGCUGGUUACCUGCGCCAGGACGGAAAGACCCCAUGGAGCUUUACUCCAGUUUGGUACUGGGACUCGGUAUUGCAUGUACAGGAUAGGUGGGAGGCUAGGAGAUAGUAACGCCAGUUAUUAUGGAGCCGCUGUUGGGAUACCACCCUUGCAGUAUUGGGUUUCUAACCAGCCGCCGUGACCCGGCGGUGGGACAUGCCAGACGGGGAGUUUGACUGGGGCGGUCGCCUCCGAAAGGGUAUCGGAGGCGCCCAAAGGUUCCCUCAGAAUGGACGGAAACCAUUCGAAGAGUGCAAAGGCAGAAGGGAGCUUGACUGCGACACCGACGGGUGGAGCAGGUACGAAAGUAGGGCUUAGUGAUCCGGUGGUAUUAAGUGGGAAUGCCAUCGCUCAACGGAUAAAAGCUACCCUGGGAUAACAGGCUUAUCACUCCCAAGAGUUCACAUCGACGGAGUGGUUUGGCACCUCGAUGUCGGCUCAUCGCAUCCUGGGGCUGUAGUAGGUCCCAAGGGUUGGGCUGUUCGCCCAUUAAAGCGGUACGCGAGCUGGGUUCAGAACGUCGUGAGACAGUUCGGUCCCUAUCCGGCGUGGGCGUAGGAUAUCUGAGAGGAGCUGUCCUUAGUACGAGAGGACCGGGAUGGACGGGCCGCUGGUGCAUCGGUUAGACUGCCAAGUCUACGGCCGAGUAGCCAAGCCCGGAAGGGAUAAACGCUGAAGGCAUCUAAGCGUGAAGCCCCCCUUAAGAUGAGAUAUCCCAUUCGAAAGAAGUAAACCCCCUUGAAGACGACGAGGUAGAUAGGGCAGAGGUGGAAGUGUGGCAACACAUGGAGCUGACUGUUACUAAUCGGGUGAGGGCUUGACC